rfam:Schistosoma rodhaini strain Burundi genome assembly, scaffold: SROB_scaffold0005206
UGCUGAGGAGUCCCACAAUAGGACGAAACGGCUGUCCA